GGCCCUCGUAUGGAUAUGGAGAGGGAGUAUUAGUAGUAUAUUAUCAUGAACUAUCUGUCAAAAUAAGCCCCGCCCCCUGAAAUGUCAUAAAUCACGUCAUAACCACGCCUCCUUUUUAUGCAAAUUAGCCAUGUGGUUGUCACCACGUGUUGUUUGUUAUUGUUAUUGUUUUGUGAGUCAUGUGACAGUCAUGUGACUGGUGUCAAAC